AGAAAAUUAGAAGGGAUCUUUACUUUGAGACACAAAACUCCUUGUACUGUACAACUUUCAAAGGAAAAAGUGGGAUCUCAACUUUCACAAAAUAGUAUGACUGUAAUUCAAAUAAUUUAAUAGCAAAUUACAAGUGCCUAGGGCAGGAUAUGGACCUCGAAGUACGAGAGCUAUAGUGGCAUUGGUAUGGUAAAUCAAUCAUAAACUGCUUCUUUUCCUAGGCUGCACCAUCAGUACCAUUUUUGUGCUGUUCACUACCAUCAGAGUCUUGGAUCCCACAAGAGGUUAACUUCAUUCAAGAUCUCAACCACCAAGAGGAACAUACCGAGAAGUGACCUCUUACCUGCUGAUGACCUCUAAAUCCACCAGAGACCCCCAGGGGAUGGUCGGUACAUGACUGAAAGCUACAAGCUCAGAUUCUAUUCACAUAUCUGCACUGAAUUGCUGGAUUUUGCAGGGAUCAAGAUGACCCCUGUGAGACAGCAAACCAGCUACAGGACUCUUUUCCCUCACAAUCCAGUAGGAUGAAAGAAUGCACAGACAGCAAGCAGGCAUGGAUCUGGACAACAGAGCAGUCACAGAGGGCUGUUAGAAGACAAAAGGAUGAAGAACCUCAGAGACAAAUCUCUGGAGAUGGGAUAAUCAAGUGUGCUGCUGAGCAGGG
rnacentral:lncRNA from 1 species